rnacentral:rRNA from 1 species
GACGGAGGAUGCAAGCGUUAUCCGGAAUCAUUGGGCGUAAAGCGUCUGUAGGUGGUUUAUUAAGUCAACUGUUAAAUCUUGAGGCUCAACCUCAAAAUCGCAGUCGAAACUAUUAGGCUAGAGUAUAGUAGGGGUAAAGGGAAUUUCCAGUGGAGCGGUGAAAUGCGUAGAGAUUGGAAAGAACACCGAUGGCGAAGGCAGGUCUCUGGGCAUUAACUGACGCUGAGGAGCGAAAGCAUGGGGAGCGAACAGG